UACUCUACGGGAGGCAGCAGUGGGGAAUUUUGGACAAUGGGCGCAAGCCCGAUCCAGCAAUGCCGCGUGCAGGAAGAAGGCCUUCGGGUUGUAAUCUGCUUUUGUCAGGGAAGAAAUCUUCUGGGUUAAUACCUCGGGAGGAUGACGGUACCUGAAGAAUAAGCACCGGCUAACUACGUGCCAGCAGCCGCGGUAAUACGUAGGGUCGAGCGUUAAUCGGAAUUACUGGGCGUAAAGCGUGCGCAGGCGGCUUUGCAAGACAGAUGUGAAAUCCCCGGGCUCAACCUGGGAACUGCAUUUGUGACUGCAAGGCUAGAGUACGGCAGAGGGGGAUGGAAUUCCGCGUGUAGCAGUGAAAUGCGUAGAUAUGCGGAGGAACACCGAUGGCGAAGGCAAUCCCCUGGGCCUGUACUGACGCUCAUGCACGAAAGCGUGGGGAGCAAACAGGAUUAGAUACCCUGGUAGUCCACGCCCUAAACGAUGUCAACUGGUUGUUGGACGGCUUGCUAUUCAGUAACGAAGCUAACGCGUGAAGUUGACCGCCUGGGGAGUACGGCCGCAAGGUUGAAACUCAAAUGAAUGACGG
rnacentral:rRNA from 1 species